GAAGGUCUGGAGCUCAGAGGUAGAAUACCUGCUUUGAGUGCAGAAGGCCCAAGGUUGAAUCCCUGGCAUCUUCA